CAAAACCAUGUCAAAACGAAAGUAGAAGCUACAAGAUACAGCUUUGGAAGUUGUGUCAGCAGCAGCUGAAAUAAAGAGGCUAGAACAACAACUACAUAGAUAUGAGCUGCUGAAUUUGCACCAUGAACAACAAAAUACUACAUCUUUCUCAAGUGUUAUAUUGAUAGUGAUAUUAAUCAGAAAUAAAAUCGAUUGACAUCCUGAAUUGUAA